UUGGAGGGCAAGUCUGGUGCCAGCAGCCGCGGUAAUUCCAGCUCCAAUAGCGUAUAUUAAAGUUGUUGCAGUUAAAAAGCUCGUGGUUGAAUUUCGGGAUUUUACCGUUGGUCGGGCUAUCCAGUCUGUACUAGCGUGUAGAAUUUCUACCUUCUGGGGAACCAUCAUGUUAUUUAUUUAGCGUGGUGGGAAACCAGGACCUUUACCUUGAAAAAAUUAGAGUGUUCAAAGCAGGCUUACGUCUGAAUACAUUAGCAUGGAAUAAUAAAAUAGGACGGUGGUCCUGUUUUGUUGGUUUCUGAAUCACCGUAAUGAUUAAUAGGGAUAGUUGGGGGCAUUAGUAUUCAAUUGUCAGAGGUGAAAUUCUUGGAUUUAUUGAAGACUAACUUCUGCGAAAGCAUUUGCCAAGGAUGUUUUCAUUAAUCAAGAACGAAAGUUAGGGGAUCGAAGACGAUCAGAUACCGUCGUAGUCUUAACCAUAAACUAUGCCGACUAGGGAUCGGACGAUGUUAAAUAUUAUUGACUCGUUCGGCGCCUUACGGGAAAC
rnacentral:rRNA from 1 species